rnacentral:ncRNA from 2 species
AAAUGAAUUAUUCGCCGAGCUUUUCUAGCUAAAUCUUUUUUUAGAAUGCUAUUUAAGCCGUGGUUAAUAGUAAUUUUGCUAUAACCACCAGGGUUAACAAGGAAACUUGUUAGCCUCCCUACAUUUGGAAAGGUGAGAUGUUAACAGACAA